UUAGAUUUGGGUGGCGGACGGGUGAGUAACGCGUAAAGAACUUGCCUCACAGCUAGGGACAACAUUUAGAAAUGAAUGCUAAUACCUGAUAUUAUGAUUUUAAGGCAUCUUAGAAUUAUGAAAGCUAUAAACACUGUGAGAGAGCUUUGCGUCCCAUUAGCUAGUUGGAGAGGUAACAGCUCACCAAGGCGAUGAUGGGUAGCCGGCCUGAGAGGGUGAACGGCCACAAGGGGACUGAGACACGGCCCUUACUCCUACGGGAGGCAGCAGUGGGGAAUAUUGGACAAUGGACCGAGAGUCUGAUCCAGCAAUUCUGUGUGCACGAUGAAGUUUUUCGGAAUGUAAAGUGCUUUCAGUUGGGAAGAAAAAAAUGACGGUACCAACAGAAGAAGUGACGGCUAAAUACGUGCCAGCAGCCGCGGUAAUACGUAUGUCACGAGCGUUAUCCGGAUUUAUUGGGCGUAAAGCGCGUCUAGGUGGUUAUGUAAGUCUGAUGUGAAAAUGCAGGGCUCAACUCUGUAUUGCGUUGGAAACUGUGUAACUAGAGUACUGGAGAGGUAAGCGGAACUACAAGUGUAGAGGUGAAAUUCGUAGAUAUUUGUAGGAAUGCCGAUGGGGAAGCCAGCUUACUGGACAGAUACUGACGCUAAAGCGCGAAAGCGUGGGUAGCAAACAGG
rnacentral:rRNA from 1 species